UAAGCUAGAUCUUAUCCACUAUUUAUUGAACAAUGUUUGAUCCUAAUAGUCUUCUCUCACUGACAUCAUCCCAACAUACAGGGAUCCAACAUCUUCUUCCAUACAGAGCUUCAAAGGAAGAGCCAUUUGGAUGCUAGCUUGAAAGCUGUUGUUAUAUACAAACUCCACUAGUGGUAAAAGUUCAUCCCAAGACCCUUUUAAGUAAUCUAUCACACGUGCCCUCAACAUAUCUUCCAAUAUUUAAAUUAUUCUUUCUGACUGACCAUCUGUCUG
rnacentral:lncRNA from 1 species